AUUGAACGCUGGCGGCAUGCCUUACACAUGCAAGUCGAACGGCAGCACGGGAGCAAUCCUGGUGGCGAGUGGCGAACGGGUGAGUAAUACAUCGGAACGUGCCCAAUCGUGGGGGAUAACGCAGCGAAAGCUGUGCUAAUACCGCAUACGAUCUACGGAUGAAAGCCGGGGACCGCAAGGCCUUGCGCGAAUGGAGCGGCCGAUGGCAGAUUAGGUAGUUGGUGGGGUAAAGGCUCACCAAGCCAACGAUCUGUAGCUGGUCUGAGAGGACGACCAGCCACACUGGGACUGAGACACGGCCCAGACUCCUACGGGAGGCAGCAGUGGGGAAUUUUGGACAAUGGGCGCAAGCCUGAUCCAGCCAUGCCGCGUGCAGGAUGAAGGCCUUCGGGUUGUAAACUGCUUUUGUACGGAAUGAAACGGCCUUUUCUAAUAAAGAGGGCUAAUGACGGUACCGUAAGAAUAAGCACCGGCUAACUACGUG
rnacentral:rRNA from 1 species